CUGCAAGCAGUGAACUGGAGAAACAUCCAGCACUUACUGCUCUACUAUAAGGAAAGAAAUACUCUUAUCAACUGGACAUCCAUAUAGUAGCCACUGUGGAUGUUCCAUGUGCCCAAAGAGUAUGGUGUGCAGAUCAAAGUCAAGGGCAAAACUGUCUGCACGUAUAUCUGAGGGUUCUGUCCAUUUUACAAUUCAGGUGCAUUUUAGAGUCAUCCAAGCUAGUAGCUGCGUCAUAGCCCUAGCAAUGUUAUGUGUGUUCUACAAAUGAAAGAUUUACCAUUAUUUGAAAUUCUUCAUUUCAAAAAGUUUAAAUGGAUUUGAAAUCUAUUAUAACUAUCACAAGAAAUGCUAUCAUUAGAUUAUUAAUGAAAGAAAGAUCUGUAGGAUUCUUUCUAUGUAUAUAACUUCAAUAGUCCCUGCAGGGAGCCGAAGGCCCGUAGGAUGUGACCAACUCAGUAGUCCACUGGAGGAUAUGAUUAAACAGCAAACUGUUUAUCAUGAAUGCAGGAUGUGGGCAAACUCACACUGCCCUGCCACCAAAAGGUUUGCUGAGGGACAUCACUCCCUGGCACCCGGCUCCUUGAAGUUAUCUACUGAGAAAUCUAGCACCUAUUAUCCAAAGGAUGCAGUCUUGCCUGCUGUGAACCAAAUUGCUGACUGACAAUUACCCAACAAUCACACCCCCCACCCCGAUCUCUUUUGCCUAAUAAAUAUGGAGGGCUGUGUAAAUCUCAGGGCCCUUGUGCACUAGAGGCAAGGUGCCCCCCGACCCCUUCUUACAAAUAUACUCUUGUCUCUUGCCUUUGAUUCCUGUGUUCGCCCCCCUUUGUUCAGUCCACCAGGUCUGUACAGGUUACAAGUCCCAAAUUUUUGAAUGGUUGUAAAAUGUGUUUAAAUGAUUUGUCCAUGUCUGUAUAAGCAGAUUUUUAUUGAUGGUGACUAUUAAGAAUUUGAAAAUGUAAUUAAAAAGUCUUGAUAAGGAGCUGUGUGUAGCCCUUUCAAGCAUAAAAUCCAAUUUUUAAACAGAUAUAAGCUCAAGUUUCUCAUUAAAGGUUUUCAACAAUUCUUUUUUGCAAAUUUUACAUGUAUUUAGUAUCUAAAUUUCCUUCUAAACUUUGUGCUGUAUUACCUUGCAUAUGAAAACUGUUUCAAAUUUUCCCCAGGCUCCAUAUGAAAGCACUUGAAUCCCUCCAGUUUAUCUCAGUGCCUUAGACUGGAUCUUCUAGAAACAGAGAAUUCCAGGUAGAAGGUUUAUUGGAGAAUGCCCUCAGGAAAUAUACCUAAAGGAAGUGAAGAUGGAGGCAAGACUGGACAGAGGGAGAAGCUGACUCACAUUGCAGUUACAAGUGAGGCCUCAGCUUAUCCUACUUGGAGCCCUAGAGCUGAAUGAACUUCUAGAGUUGUUUUAAAUUGAGGUGAGGGACUGAGCCUGUGUAUUUAUUCCCCAUCAGCCAUUCAUUAUGCUUGCUGGCAGAGGGCAUAACCUUGAGUGAGGCACACUAUGAAAUGUCAGAAGCCUAUUUCCGCAACAGCUUGGAGAUGGAUGUGAAAUGAACUGCAGAUUCUGAGCGCAGUUUUACAAGCACAACUUGAGUCUGAGUUCUAGCUACUGCCCAGUUGUGUGACCUUGGCCAAAGAUCAAAGAGUUUGAAAAUGCACUAUACUGGCAAGGGUGUGG
rnacentral:lncRNA from 1 species